CCUACGGGAGGCAGCAGUGAGGAAUAUUGGUCAAUGGACGAGAGUCUGAACCAGCCAAGUAGCGUGAAGGAUGACUGCCCUAUGGGUUGUAAACUUCUUUUAUAUGGGAAUAAAAUGUUCCACGUGUGGGAUUUUGUAUGUACCAUAUGAAUAAGGAUCGGCUAACUCCGUGCCAGCAGCCGCGGUAAUACGGAGGAUCCGAGCGUUAUCCGGAUUUAUUGGGUUUAAAGGGAGCGUAGGUGGAGUGUUAAGUCAGUUGUGAAAGUUUUCGGCUCAACCGUAAAAUUGCAGUUGAAACUGGCAGUCUUGAGUACAGUAGAGGUGGGCGGAAUUCGUGGUGUAGCGGUGAAAUGCUUAGAUAUCACGAAGAACUCCGAUUGCGAAGGCAGUUCACUGGACUGCAACUGACACUGAGGCUCGAAAGUGUGGGUAUCAAACAGGAUUAGAUACCCGGGUAGUC
rnacentral:rRNA from 1 species